rnacentral:rRNA from 1 species
UACGGGGGGGGCAAGCGUUGUUCGGAAUUACUGGGCGUAAAGGGCUCGUAGGCGGCCAACUAAGUCAGACGUGAAAUCCCUCGGCUUAACCGGGGAACUGCAUCUGAUACUGGAUGGCUUGAGAUUGGGAGAGGGAUGCGGAAUUCCAGGUGUAGCGGUGAAAUGCGUAGAGAUGUGGAGGAACACCGAUGGCGAAGGCAGCCUUCUGGGCCAACACUGACGCUCAUGCACGAAAGCGUGGGGAGCAAACAGG